GAUGAAGAACGUAGCGAAAUGCGAUAAGUAAUGUGAAUUGCAGAAUUCCGUGAAUCAUCGAAUCUUUGAACGCAAAUUGCGCCCCCUGGUAUUCCGGGGGGCAUGCCUGUCCGAGCGUCAUUGCAACCUUCAAGCGCGGCUUGUGUGUUGGGUCUCGUCCCCCGUGGACGGGCCCGAAAGGCAGUGGCGGCGUCCCGACAUGGUGCCCGAGCGUAUGGGAAUCCUCUUCCGCUCGAAUCGGCCCAUGCGGCGCUGGUCGUAACCAAAUUUUUUACCGGUUGACCUCGGAUCAGGUAGGGAUACCCGCUGAACUUAAGCAUAUCAAUAAGCGGAGGA
rnacentral:misc_RNA from 1 species